GACGUAGGGCGCGAGCGUUGUCCGGAUUUAUUGGGCGUAAAGAGCUCGUAGGCGGCUUGUUGCGUCGACUGUGAAAACCCGCGGCUUAACUGCGGGCUUGCAGUUGAUACGGGCAGGCUAGAGUUCGGUAGGGGAGACUGGAAUUCCUGGUGUAGCGGUGAAAUGCGCAGAUAUCAGGAGGAACACCGGUGGCGAAGGCGCCACUCUGGGCCGGUACUGACGCUGAGGAGCGAAAGCGUGGGUAGCAAACAGG
rnacentral:rRNA from 1 species